AUGGCUCCAGAAUUCUGGUGGGGAUGUAGUGAUGCCAUCCAUUGAGAGAGGGGACACAGGAAGAAGGGCAGGUAUGGAGAGGAUGGCAGCUGAUGGAUUUAGUUGGGACCUGUUGAAUUUGAGGUGAGUAGGGGGCCAUCCUGGUGGAGAUGACCUGGAGGCAGUUAGAAAUACUGUCCUUAAGGCCUCAUCAUAGACUGAGCUCCCCUAGGGAGAGAAAGGAAACGAGGAGAGGGAAGGGGAGGAGGGAGAGGAGGAGAGUGAGGGGAAGGGAGGGCCUAGAGCCCUGAGCAACCGCAACAGGAAAGAGACUAGGGAACAGUGGCCAAAGUGUCGGGGAGCAAAGCGAGAGAGGACUGGAGCCCCUUCCUCUCUCUGGUUCUCCUAGGCUCCUUCUCAGAGCUAAGAGGGUUUGCCUCAACCAUCUCCCAGACCUCCCCUGUUCUGGGGGCACAGCUUCUAGCGACAUAAGACAAGAGUGCAGCAAAGCCCUCUGGGAGCACAGGAAGUCCUUCAGCUUUCAGGAAUCAGAGGAGGCGUCAUAGCUUUGAAGAAUAAGGAGGAUUUCCACAGGCCCAGGAGCUGAGAAAACGGCCAGGCAGCCAGGAGGCAGCAGAAGCCGGAACACUACCCAGGGAUAUCUUCACACCAUCCCUUCAGCACAUUCAGGUUGACAAACCACUCUCUGUCGUCUCCUGGGCCCUCUGCAAUUACGGAUGAGGUAAGCAUGAUUACGCUCAUUUUAAGAAAAAGGAAACUGAAGCCAAGAGAUUUUCAGUGACUUUCCAGCUACCUUUCCUUAACAACCAAUAAUGUAAGCCAUGUUAAUUGAUGGGGGAGGCUGGACUAGGGAUGAUAACUUAGAAAAGUGACCCUAAUGGUGGAUUUGCAGGCACCGUUUCAGGCCUAGGAGGGAGACAUGUGGGGCAGUCAUUCCAAAACACCGCUCUAUGGAUAAGUGCCUAAGAAUCACCGGAGAAAUGAACAAAUACAUGGUUCUUUUGUGUACACACACAUGCACACGUAUGGUUUCUUGGGCUUUCUUCUAAAUGAUUCCAUAGCCUUUGGGCAGGCCCAGGAAUCUUUAUUUCUAAGAAGCACCUCAGGAGACUCUGACGUGUAGCCAGGUUUGGCAGCAACCGCUUUAGCGGAGCCCUGCAUUCUAAAGGCAGGGGUGGUCCUGGAAGGAAUUCUCUGGAGGACACGUGUUUGCAUGGGUUUAAACCCACUCCUGGUGUGAAUAGGAGACAAAGGGUGUGUGUGGAUAUUGGGCAGCUAAUAGUCAUUCACCACCACUUCCUCUUUUCUAUCAGAACCAGCAGAUGGGAGGCUGAGGUACGGGGGUUGAAUCUUGGCUAGUCUAAGCAGAUUUGACUCACUUGGAGAGCUUUUAAAAAAUACCAGUAAUCAGGCCCCACCUCCAGAGAUUAAAUUGAUCUGGGAGUACAGUCUGGGCACUGGUAAUUUUUCAAAGCACCUCAGGAAAUUCUCAUGUCUAGCCAGGGUUGAGGAGACUCCUCUAAGCCAGUCAUAACUCCAACCUCUUUGCCAUGCGGUUAGGUUCAGCUUGGGCAUGUGGCACAAUUCUGGCCAAUGAGAGGCAUGGACGGAAAGCUGCUGGGAGAUUCUGGGGGUGGCUGCCUUGUUUUUAAAAGGGGACAUAAGGCAAGGGUGUUACUUCUUCCAGUCUUUGGAUUUUAUUGAAUUAGAGUGUGAUACUCAGAGCUGCCACAGCCACCUUAUGACCAUGAGAGGGCAAGCCUGAAGACAAAAGCCGAGAGCUGAGAAUGGUGGAGCAGAAAGAUGGAAAGAACUGGAGUUCUUUUUUUUUUUAAACUUUUUCUUUUUCUUUCUUUUUUUUUCUUGCG